AGUCAACUGCAGGGGAGCCGGAAUCGACCGGCUGAGAGGAAGCUGUUGCUUCGACCCUUAUACCUGAUUUGGAUCAUGCCAACGGAGGGAAACAUUGAACUGCCGAAA
rnacentral:ncRNA from 1 species